UCCUUAAGAAGUGGUCAUUAUGAACUGCAGCCAGAUACCUGAAUGGCUGCAAGUAGGUCAUUUUUGGUAAAAAGAAAUAGCGCUGUGUGAUGAAUCAAACUUUGGGUUAAGGCGCCUAACUUCGCGCUCAUGAGAACCAAAAAAGGCUUUGGUUGAUAUAGACAGCAGGACGGUGAACAUAGAUGCCUACCCCUACUAAGGAAUGUGUACAACUCACUUGCCAAAUCAACUAGCCGUGGAAAUGGAUGGUGCUCGAGCGAGAGACAUAUAACCACCGUUGCUGGCCAAUACGUUGGCUAGUUCCUGCCGCAAUGACUGAGAAGGUCGUGGUGGUUGCGUCGAAGGCUUGGCUAGACCCAUCUGGAGCUUCUGCUAGUG
rnacentral:ncRNA from 1 species